rnacentral:piRNA from 1 species
UGGCCUUGAUUCAGAUUAGCUGUGGUUCAAU